rnacentral:rRNA from 1 species
GAUGAACGCUGGCGGCGUGCCUAAUACAUGCAAGUCGAGCGAAUGGAUUAAGAGCUUGCUCUUAUGAAGUUAGCGGCGGACGGGUGAGUAACACGUGGGUAACCUGCCCAUAAGACUGGGAUAACUCCGGGAAACCGGGGCUAAUACCGGAUAAUAUUUUGAACUGCAUGGUUCAAAGUUGAAAGGCGGCUUCGGCUGUCACUUAUGGAUGGACCCGCGUCGCAUUAGCUAGUUGGUGAGGUAACGGCUCACCAAGGCAACGAUGCGUAGCCGACCUGGGAGGGUGAUCGGCCACACUGGGACUGAGACACGGCCCAGACUCAUACGGGAGGCAGCAGUAGGGAAUCUUCCGCAAUGGACGAAAGUCUGACGGAGCAACGCCGCGUGAGUGAUGAAGGCUUUCGGGUCGUAGAACUCUGUUGUUAGGGAAGAACAAGUGCUAGUUGAAUAAGCUGGCACCUUGACGGUACCUAACCAGAAAGCCACGGCUAACUACGUGCCAGCCGCCGCCGUAA